GAAAGCAGUAAACUGUAAUUGUUCAAAGAAAUAACAAGUCUUGGGAAAUAUGGAUGUAAGGGUGGAAAGAAUCUCAUUUCAUUUGCUCCCCUGAUUAGCAUACAUUAAACCAUGCAGAAUUACUAUAUCCUCUCUGCGUAAUGAAUAAAUCUAUCAAAACCAGCGAAAUGCCCUGCAAUCAGGAUAGCUAGGACUUGGGCUGUUCAAAAAGGGUUUUGUUAGCCCAUCUGAAAUAGGUAUGGAAGCACGCUGUACUUCUUCAUCGCAGGCAUGUCCCAUUUCAGUCCAUACUGCACAGAGUGGUUUGGGCCAGAUAAUAUAACCCAAGUUUGGUAGAGGUGUGUUUGGGUCUGACCAUAUGACCUAGGUUUGAACAACUAACUGAGACCAGGGAACACUAGGAACAACUGAACCUGGUUUGUACUAAAGGGAAGUUAAACAGCAUAUCCUGGCUUACAGUAAUGCACACAAAUUGGCAAACAGAAACCCAAGAAUGCUACUACCGGUGUAUUCUCUGGAAAAUCACAGUCCAAGGCAAGUGACCUACUGAUCUAAGACCCCAAGCUCAGAUGGACAAGUUGCUGGCUCACCAUAACAAUAUUUGUAGUUAAAUGCUAAUUUGGUCACUUUGGUGGUACAUACCCGGAUCAGAAUGUUACAAGCUUGACUAAAAA